rnacentral:rRNA from 1 species
GACGAACGCUGGCGGCGUGCCUAAUACAUGCAAGUCGAACGAGAGCGACCGGUGCUUGCACUGGUCAAUCUAGUGGCGAACGGGUGAGUAACACGUGGGUAACCUGCCCAUCAGAGGGGGAUAACAUCCGGAAACGGAUGCUAAAACCGCAUAGGUCUUCGAACCGCAUGGUUUGAAGAGGAAAAGAGGCGCAAGCUUCUGCUGAUGGAUGGACCCGCGGUGCAUUAGCUAGUUGGUGAGGUAACGGCUCACCAAGGCCGUGAUGCAUAGCCGACCUGAGAGGGUGAUCGGCCACAUUGGGACUGAGACACGGCCCAAACUCCUACGGGAGGCAGCAGUAGGGAAUCUUCCGCAAUGGACGCAAGUCUGACGGAGCAACGCCGCGUGAGUGAGGAAGGUUUUCGGAUCGUAAAACUCUGUUGUUAGAGAAGAACAAGUGCUAGAGUAACUGUUAGCGCCUUGACGGUAUCUAACCAGAAAGCCACGGCUAACUACGUG